rnacentral:siRNA from 1 species
GGGUGUGUUUGACGAGAUGCA